UAUUACCUGUGAAGAUGCAGGUUACCCGCGACAGGACGGAAAGACCCCAUGGAGCUUUACUGUAGCUUGAUAUUGGAUUUUGGUACAGUUUGUACAGGAUAGGUAGGAGCCAGAGAAGCCGGACCGCCAGGUUCGGUGGAGGCGUCGGUGGGAUACUACCCUGACUGUACUGAAAUUCUAACCUAGGACCGUGAUCCGGUUCGGGGACAGUGUCAGGUGGGCAGUUUGACUGGGGCGGUCGCCUCCUAAACAGUAACGGAGGCGCCCAAAGGUUCCCUCAGAAUGGUUGGAAAUCAUUCGUAGAGUGCAAAGGCAAAAGGGAGCUUGACUGCGAGACCUACAAGUCGAGCAGGGACGAAAGUCGGGCUUAGUGAUCCGGUGGUACCGCAUGGAAGGGCCAUCGCUCAACGGAUAAAAGCUACCCUGGGGAUAACAGGCUUAUCUCCCCCAAGAGUCCACAUCGACGGGGAGGUUUGGCACCUCGAUGUCGGCUCAUCGCAUCCUGGGGCUGAAGUAGGUCCCAAGGGUUGGGCUGUUCGCCCAUUAAAGCGGUACGCGAGCUGGGUUCAGAACGUCGUGAGACAGUUCGGUCCCUAUCCGUCGCGGGCGUAGGAAAUUUGAGAGGAGCUGUCCUUAGUACGAGAGGACCGGGAUGGACACACCGCUGGUGUACCAGUUGUUCCGCCAGGAGCAUAGCUGGGUAGCUACGUGUGGAAGGGAUAAGUGCUGAAAGCAUCUAAGCAUGAAGCCCCCCUCAAGAUGAGAUUUCCCAUGGAGUUAAUCCAGUAAGACCCCUUAGAGAUGAUGAGGUUGAUAGGUCUCGGGUGGAAGCGUGGCGACACGUGGAGCUGAGAGAUACUAAUCGGUCGA
rnacentral:ncRNA from 1 species